rnacentral:rRNA from 1 species
AACGCGAAGAACCUUACCUAGGCUUGACAUGCACGAGCAAGCUCUCAGAAACGAGAGCCCCUCUUCGGAGAUCGUGCACAGGUGCUGCAUGGCUGUCGUCAGCUCGUGUCGUGAGAUGUUGGGUUAAGUCCCGCAACGAGCGCAACCCUUGUCCCUAGUUGCUACGCAAGGGCACUCUAGGGAGACUGCCGGUGACAAACCGGAGGAAGGUGGGGAUGACGUCAAGUCCUCAUGGCCCUUAUGGGUAGGGCUUCACACGUCAUACAAUGGCCGGUACAGAGGGUUGCCAAAGCGCGAGCUGGAGCCAAUCCCAGAAAGCCGGUCGUAGUCCGGAUUGCAGUCUGCAACUCGACUGCAUGAAGUCGGAAUCGCUAGUAAUCGCGGAUCAGCAUGUCGCGGUGAAUACGUUCCCGGGCCUUGUACACACCGGUAUCUC